rnacentral:rRNA from 1 species
AGUGAUGAUAUAAACGGCUUUUAAUGUAGCGUAAUAAUUUGUUUUUUAAAUGGAAUCUGGAUGAAUGGUUAUACAUUGAGCAACUAUGUUUUUAGUAUAUAAAAAAUUUGUAUUUUAAAAUAAAAAUAUUUAAAUAUUAUUAAGGGACGAUAAGACCCUAAAAACUUGAAUUUUAAUGUAUUAUUAAAUUUGUAUUAUUUGGGGUGAAUGUUUUAUUAUAUUUGAUAUUAUAUAAAACUUGGGUAUAGGUUUGAUGAUCCUUUAUAUAAGGAUAGUUAGUAAUAGUUACUUUAGGGAUAACAGCACGAUUAUUUUGGUAAGAUCUUAUUUAUGAAAUUAGUUGUGACCUCGAUGUUGAAUUAAAAUCUCUUUUUGGCGUAGAUGUUAAAUGAGUGGGUUUGUUCAACCUUUGAAAUUUUACGUGAUCUGAGU